CACAAAUAUCCGACGAGGCAAAAUCGUAGACGUCGUGACUUCUGAGAUGUCGCAUAUGUUUAUUUAAUUAAAUUGCUUAGAUUCAGCACUUCGUUUUCAGCGUGGCUGCGGCAUAGCUGGUGGCAUGGGAGGAAUGAUGCUUUUUCAAGUGCUUGUUCCACUGCUAUUGGUUGCCACAGCAUCAUCUUCAGAAGAUAAAGUGUUUGUCCUGAAAGGAGGGUCCAUCGUGUUGCAGGCGGAGCAAGUGACUAGGGUUUCCUCUAUCAUCUGGAAACACAACAAGGAGAAAGCUGCAGAAUGGUUUGAGGGCGAUGAUGCGCCAACCUAUUAUAACAUAUUUCAAUAUGUAGCUACACUGGAUGAGCAAACCUGGGCCUUGACCAUCUCAGACCUCCAUCCACGUUUUAAUGGGAAAUAUUCAGCUGAGGUGAACAACAAGGACCCAACUCAGUUUGUGACCUUAACUGUACUUGGGCCAGUUUCAAAACCUACAAUCACCAUGGACUGCAUUGAUACCCUCUGCACCCUGACCUGCGAGGGACGGGAAGAUGGAUUCACAACAUACACCUGGGCUAAUGGCAUUGAAGAGUGGCCUGGAUCUGAACUGACUGUGGAGAAGAUAGACCAUGAUGUGGUCCACACCUGUAACUUCAGUAAUCCAGUGAGCUGGGCAUCCAGCAACGGGACAGUCAAACAUGUACCGCCUUCACCAGUUCCAGGACUUGGUCUAGCUAAUGGAGUAAGAAUUGGAGUAGUAAUUGCAGUGUUAAUUAUAGGUUCAUGUAUUCUACUUCAGCUGGUGUUAAAAAAGCAAGGAAACAAAAAUCAACCUGAAGCUAACCAAGAUCCAUCACAUGAUGUUGUGACAGAAGUGCAGAACAGUUGUUUGUAUGUCACGAGAGCAGAAGGAGCGUGAUGGAGGUGAGGAAAAUCAACAACUGCCAAACACUGUAAGUUGCAGUGAAGACAUACUAUAUACAGCGUCUUCAGCAUGUCACUAUCUGUGUUUGAAGUCAAAUAAUGUCUCUACAUCAUGUUAGUUUACAAAAAAAGACUGGUGUUGAUAUUUGUUUUGUUUUGUUUUUGUAGUUAAUGUGGGGUUUUCGCUGUCUACAUGGCAAGUUAUUCAAGCAAAUGAAUGCCUAGGUGUUAAUUGGAAAUUUUACAGAAUAUAUUGCCAUUAACAGAAAACACUGUCAGGUGGCACUGUUUAAAGUCUAAAUCAAUGUUUGCAACUUUGGUAGCAUAAUAAUAGUAACAUUGACAACAAAAACAUAUUUGUAAAGGUUUUAAAACUGCAAGUGUAGUGUAUGAAUGAGCCAGUAGAUGGCCAAGUGAAUGUUCUCUGUUCAUUGUGUGAAGAGAUAUUUAGUUUUAUACAUACUGCAAAUGUUCUCUGUUCAUUGUGUGGAGAGAUAUUUCGUUUUAUACGUACUUUGUGAGAAGAGAUAUUUUUAUACAUACUUUGUGAGAGAUAUUUUGUUUUUAUACUUAUUUUGUGAAAAGAAAUAUUUCGUUUUAUACAUACUUUGUGAAAAUAGAUAUUUAGGUUUAUACUUUGCAAGUUUUUUUCUCAUGACUGGAGUGUUUGUACAUUUGAGGCGUAAAAUGAGUCCCACCAUUUACUGUAACAGUCAAGAAUAUUAAUUGUAUUGUAUAUUCUGAUGCACCUCUGUCUUGUGACGUUUGUGUGAGCUGAUGGGCAUUGUUUGCCUCCUGACCCCCCCUCACUCUCCCAUGCCCCUCUCCCUUCUCCUGGGCACAGGUCAUUCUGGGGUCACACCUGGCCACAUUUUAGGGGUGAAAUCUAUUUAGUGAGUAGAGGGCGUCAGCACAUUGGGGGUUGAUAUCAUUUUAAUGGCCUGUGUGAGUAGGCCUAUAAGGGUCACAGUUGUUGAACAAUAAGUUGGAUCUUUAAAAGGUCUCCAGAAACAUGCGGAAAUGUCCUUUAUAAGGUCUCCAUUCCAGUGACACUCCCACCUGGGGUCAAAACAUGUCCUACUCCUUGCCACUCGGAUAAGGAGAUGGCCCCAUUGGUCAAAGGUCCUUAGAUGUGUAAAUAGGUUAUUUAUGCAAAUUUCCAUUUGUCAUGUAAUUUAAGAAUGCAUUUUUUUUUGGUUGUGUAUUAUUACUAGAAGUAUUGAAUCUUUAUGCUUUUAUUUUUGACUUAGCUUAAUCAUUGCGUAAUCAUGUUAGAAAACAUCUUUGAAUUUGCAAUGCGUGAAUUGUGUGAAUGCCUGUAAGUGGCUCCUUUGUGAACUCAGAUACAGUAAAUCCUUGUAGUAAAUUCUAAGAGAGACAUAACAUUAUUAACUAUCACUCUGGUAAUAUCUAGCCACGACUGCAACAGCAGUGGUGAAUAAAUAACUGGAGUCAGAUUGGUCAAGAGAUAGUUUCACCAUCUAAGCAGUCUCACCUGGGCACCGGAUAAGACAGUUAUACAUUGAACCUUUGGCCGUUAGUCUGGUCUCCACACCUGGGCCAACAGCGGCUUCCUCCACAAUAUAACAGAUGGAUUUUUAAAUAUAUAAAUUACUGUAUUACUUUUGGUCAGAAAGUCUUGUCUGAGGCAUGGUAAGAUAUUUUAUUGGGUUACUCACAGUAGACAACAGAUCUGUGUAGUUUAGGUAGACUACAUGAAAGUACAUCAAUGAUACCUACAGUAGGAUGAAAGUUAGAUGAUCAGUUCUUACUGGAAAAAGGGAAAAGGUGCCCCGUUGCUGUUGUUGUUUAAUAUGAUGCUCUAUUUUUGCAUGCUAAAGACACGUUUUCUCACACAAAUACUGCCAUUAUGCCAUUAAGCAUGAGCUCUGUAUUUCUAUGUGUCGUUGCCAGGCAGCUCCCCCAUGCCCUAUAUUUUGUCUUCAUUUAAAGUCUGUGCUAUCAUAGUUAAAAUAUGCAUAGGUGGAACACACAUUAUGUGAGAGCACCAAUGCAGGAAUCAUGUAAAGACCUUUAGGUAUUGAUACAGAAGCGUCACAAUCAUACAUGGUAUCUCCUUCCUCUGUUUUGAUGUGUAUUGCUGUUCAGACUUUUUUUUUUUUUUAAUCUUUUUCUUAAAUCUCUGACGUGGUUUGUCGUUUUUUCACUAUUCUCUUCAGGUGUAUUAGAUUGAAAUGAUACAUUUGAGAAUAGAAAUGAUUGGCAGACUUGCAAUUGUCUGUUGUGUUAAUAAAGCUUUUUUUCAGCACAUCCAUUUCAUCUUUUGUUGGUCUAUUACAUUUUAAAGCAAUGCUUUGUUUAUAGUUUACUUUUACCACAUUUAAAGACUAAAGCUGUUUGGCUGAUCAACACAAGGGGAAAAAAACUCAGCAAUGACUCACCAGUUACAGUGAGCUGAUACAUACGUCAUUAUUUAUUUUAAAUGCAUAAAAGCCACUCCAAUUUGAUUUGAGAUCUGAGAUGGUUAGAGACAACGUUUGCUUGUCAAACUCCGUGUUUAGAAAAAGGCAUUUUGUUUGUUGCUCUUCUUCAUCCCAAUGUGCAAUGAUUGUGUUAUUGUGUGCCCACUGAAUGACCUCCUCGUGUACAUUUGGUACUUCUGCUUGAAGAGUGAUGGAUUGUCCUGUCAUUCCAC
ensembl:lncRNA